rnacentral:rRNA from 1 species
GACGAACGCUGGCGGCGUGCUUAACACAUGCAAGUCGAACGGAAAGGCCCUGCUUUUGUGGGGUGCUCGAGUGGCGAACGGGUGAGUAACACGUGAGUAACCUGCCCUUGACUUUGGGAUAACUUCAGGAAACUGGGGCUAAUACCGGAUAGGAGCUCCUGCUGCAUGGUGGGGGUUGGAAAGUUUCGGCGGUUGGGGAUGGACUCGCGGCUUAUCAGCUUGUUGGUGGGGUAGUGGCUUACCAAGGGUUUGACGGGUAGCCGGCCUGAGAGGGUGACCGGCCACAUUGGGACUGAGAUACGGCCCAGACGCCUACGGGAGGCAGCAGUGGGGAAUAUUGCACAAUGGGCGGAAGCCUGAUGCAGCAACGCCGCGUGCGGGAUGACGGCCUUCGGGUUGUAAACCGCUUUCGCCUGUGACGAAGCGUGAGUGACGGUAAUGGGUAAAGAAGCACCGGCUAACUACGUGCCAGCAGCCGCAGUAA